AUGAACGCUAGCUACAGGCUUAACACAUGCAAGUCGAGGGGCAGCAUGGUCUUAGCUUGCUAAGGCCGAUGGCGACCGGCGCACGGGUGAGUAACACGUAUCCAACCUGCCGUCUACUCUUGGACAGCCUUCUGAAAGGAAGAUUAAUACAAGAUGGCAUCAUGAGUCCGCAUGUUCACAUGAUUAAAGGUAUUCCGGUAGACGAUGGGGAUGCGUUCCAUUAGAUAGUAGGCGGGGUAAUGGCCCACCUAGUCUUCGAUGGAUAGGGGUUCUGAGAGGAAGGUCCCCCACAUUGGAACUGAGACACGGUCCAAACUCCUACGGGAGGCAGCAGUGAGGAAUAUUGGUCAAUGGGCGAGAGCCUGAACCAGCCAAGUAGCGUGAAGGAUGACUGCCCUAUGGGUUGUAAACUUCUUUUAUAAAGGAAUAAAGUCGGGUAUGCAUACCCGUUUGCAUGUACUUUAUGAAUAAGGAUCGGCUAACUCCGUGCCAGCAGCCGCGGUAAUACGGAGGAUCCGAGCGUUAUCCGGAUUUAUUGGGUUUAAAGGGAGCGUAGAUGGAUGUUUAAGUCAGUUGUGAAAGUUUGCGGCUCAACCGUAAAAUUGCAGUUGAUACUGGAUAUCUUGAGUGCAGUUGAGGCAGGCGGAAUUCGUGGUGUAGCGGUGAAAUGCUUAGAUAUCACGAAGAACUCCGAUUGCGAAGGCAGCCUGCUAAGCUGCAACUGACAUUGAGGCUCGAAAGUGUGGGUAUCAAACAGGAUUAGAUACCCUGGUAGUCCACACGGUAAACGAUGAAUACUCGCUGUUUGCGAUAUACUGCAAGCGGCCAAGCGAAAGCGUUAAGUAUUCCACCUGGGGAGUACGCCGGCAACGGUGAAACUCAAAGGAAUUGACGGGGGCCCGCACAAGCGGAGGAACAUGUGGUUUAAUUCGAUGAUACGCGAGGAACCUUACCCGGGCUUAAAUUGCAGAUGAAUUACGGUGAAAGCCGUAAGCCGCAAGGCAUCUGUGAAGGUGCUGCAUGGUUGUCGUCAGCUCGUGCCGUGAGGUGUCGGCUUAAGUGCCAUAACGAGCGCAACCCUUGUUGUCAGUUACUAACAGGUUCCGCUGAGGACUCUGACAAGACUGCCAUCGUAAGAUGUGAGGAAGGUGGGGAUGACGUCAAAUCAGCACGGCCCUUACGUCCGGGGCUACACACGUGUUACAAUGGGGGGUACAGAGGGCCGCUACCACGCGAGUGGAUGCCAAUCCCAAAAACCUCUCUCAGUUCGGACUGGAGUCUGCAACCCGACUCCACGAAGCUGGAUUCGCUAGUAAUCGCGCAUCAGCCACGGCGCGGUGAAUACGUUCCCGGGCCUUGUACACACCGCCCGUCACACCAUGAGAGUUGGAAAUACCCGAAGCCUGUGAGCUAACCUAAGAGGCAGCAGUCGAAGGUAGAGCCAAUGAUUGGGGUG
rnacentral:rRNA from 1 species